rnacentral:rRNA from 1 species
GACGAACGCUGGCGGCGUGCCUAACACAUGCAAGUCGAACGGAGGAUUUUAUUUCGGUAGAAUUCUUAGUGGCGAACGGGUGAGUAACGCGUAGGCAACCUGCCCUUUAGACGGGGACAACAUUCCGAAAGGAGUGCUAAUACCGGAUGUGAUCAUCGUGCCGCAUGGCAGGAUGAAGAAAGAUGGCCUCUACAAGUAAGCUAUUGCUAAAGGAUGGGCCUGCGUCUGAUUAGCUAGUUGGUAGUGUAACGGACUACCAAGGCGAUGAUCAGUAGCCGGUCUGAGAGGAUGAACGGCCACAUUGGGACUGAGACACGGCCCAAACUCCUACGGGAGGCAGCAGUGGGGAAUCUUCCGCAAUGGACGAAAGUCUGACGGAGCAACGCCGCGUGAGUGAUGAAGGAUUUCGGUCUGUAAAGCUCUGUUGUUUAUGACGAACGUGCAGUGUGUGAACAAUGCAUUGCAAUGACGGUAGUAAACGAGGAAGCCACGGCUAACUACGUGCCAGCAGCCGCGGUAAUACGUAGGUGGCGAGCGUUGUCCGGAAUUAUUGGGCGUAAAGAGCAUGUAGGCGGCUUAAUAAGUCGAGCGUGAAAAUGCGGGGCUCAACCCCGUAUGGCGCUGGAAACUGUUAGGCUUGAGUGCAGGAGAGGAAAGGGGAAUUCCCAGUGUAGCGGUGAAAUGCGUAGAUAUUGGGAGGAACACCAGUGGCGAAGGCGCCUUUCUGGACUGUGUCUGACGCUGAGAUGCGAAAGCCAGGGUAGCGAACGGGAGGAGAUACCCCGGUAGUCCUGGCCGUAAACGAUGC